rnacentral:rRNA from 1 species
ACGGAAGGCAGCAGUGGGGAAUAUUGCACAAUGGGCGAAAGCCUGAUGCAGCGACGCCGCGUGAGUGAAGAAGUAUCUCGGUAUGUAAAGCUCUAUCAGCAGGGAAGAAAAUGACGGUACCUGACUAAGAAGCCCCGGCUAACUACGUGCCAGCAGCCGCGGUAAUACGUAGGGGGCAAGCGUUAUCCGGAUUUACUGGGUGUAAAGGGAGCGUAGACGGUUUGGCAAGUCUGAGGUGAAAUGCGGGGGCUCAACUCCUGAACUGCUUUGGAAACUGUCGAACUAGAGUGCAGGAGAGGUAAGUGGAAUUCCUAGUGUAGCGGUGAAAUGCGUAGAUAUUAGGAGGAACACCAGUGGCGAAGGCGGCUUACUGGACUGUAACUGACGUUGAGGCUCGAAAGCGUGGGGAGCAAACAGGAUUAGAUACCCUGGUA